GUUCACAGGAGUCCCCCAGUAUGCCCCUCCCGGAAGAUAGCUAAGGGGGUCCUGCCAACCCUUCGCGUCAAACUCCCAUCUAAAAAGGAUUUUCUGCUAAAGUUGCGUCCAGAGCCAUCUGGCACCUGUAAGGCUAGAAGAUUCUAGAUGUCCUUUUGUCUUCUUCCCCUUUCAAAGAUCGCCUGAGUCCUAUUUUCCGCUAGGGGUCGCCCUGACCUCCUGCCUCUUAUUUCAAAGCCAGUAAGAGUGGGUUGAGUCCUUCUCACUCCACCCUCUUCUUUGGUUUACCUCUUCUACUUGUAAGGACCGUUGUAAUUACAUUGGAUUCACCUGGAUAACCCAGAAUGAUCUCCCUAUUUUAAGGCUGGAGUGCAGGGAUGUGGCCUUGGUUGACUACAAACUCUGCCUCAUGGAUUCAAGAGAUUUUCCUGCUUCAGCCUCCCAAGUGGUGUUGGAGAUCUCUGCUAACAGAGACCAAUGCUGGCAAGGAGAACAAGGAAGAGCAGGAAUGAUGGACUAAUUCUGGUGCCUUCUGCCCUAGGGGCUGCUUCUCAUAACAACAGUCACUGCAACACUCUGACUCACCUGUUCCUGUUCCUUCAGGAGUGGUUGCUGUUGUUAUAAUCUGGGGACUUUUGCAGGUCUCUCUAUUCUAUGCCCUUGAUAUAGUUUGGCUGUGUCCUCAUCUAAAAUAUCAUCUUGAAUUAUAAUCCCCAUAAUCCCCACGUGUCAAGGGAGAGACCAGGUGGAGGAAAUUGAAUCAUGGGGCAGGUUUACCCCAUGCCAUUCUUGUGAUAGUGAGUUCUCAUGAGAUCUGAUGGUUUUAUAAGCAUUUGGUAGUUCCUCCUGCAUUCAUUCUCCUCCCUGCUGCCUUGUGAAGAAGUUACCUUUCUUCCCCUUCACCUUCUGCCAUGAUUGUAAGUUUCCUGAGGCCACCCUAGCCAUGCUGAACUGUGAGUCAAGUAAACUUCUUUCCUUUAUAAAUUACCCAGUUUUGGGCAGUUUUUUAUAGCGGUGUGAAAAUGGACUAAUACAGCCCUAUACUCUAAUAUCAUUUCAAUAAUUUUAUUCCCUGCUCUAAGUAGCCAGUUGCUUUCUACUGCCUAUAAUUAAGUACCUUGAUGAUAUAUUAAGUGUUACAAGAUAGGCUUAAAAAUAAAUAAGUAUAAAAUAGAAUAUAUUUGUUAUCCCUGCUACUUCAACAAUGUUUUUGUUUUGUCCUUAAUUUCUGUGGAUCUUACUAAGUUGAGUUUUUUACAAAAUUCUCAGUUGAGUUUUCUUUUCUUCCUCACCUUGUAACUUAUAACUAAGGAUGAUAAUAGCAGUUAAGAUUCCUGAUGUUUGUACUCUGAUACCUCAUAUGGAAAAUAUCGUGAAGAGUCUUUUGUUCUUACAUCACUCAAACGAUGCAGAGUUUCCUUGAGAGAUACCCAAAUAUCAUUUGCUUAGCUUUUACAAUUCUGCUAAAAUGUACUACUAAAAAAAAUCACUGAAAACUUAAUUGUUUUCUGAUUUUUUAGUGAAUAAGUAAAAGAAUAAGCUUAGUAAGAGCCAGAAUUGCUCUUGAAAGGCUCAUAAAAUGUAUGAAGGCUACACAUCUCCCCUUAAUCUUGAUUUGGUUAAGUGAGUUUUCAUGCAGCAAGUCAGUCACUCAAACCAGUUAUUCCUCACCCUAUUACAUCUUCUAAAUUCAUCUGUCAUGGUAUACUAUCUAGUAAAUAUGUUAUUUUCUCCAAAUCAUCUCCCCAGUCUACUUCCCUAGUCCAAACUUUCAUUGCUACUCCUUUUACUUUUAUUGGUUGCAGUAGAAAGCUGCCAUAGGAUUUUGUAGGCUUGAAAAAGACUCUGAUUACUGAUAUUUCUUUUGGUUCAACUUUACGUCACAAAGAAGGCAGUUUUUAAAAGUUAACUGAAAAGAGCACAGAUAAAUUUAUCAACAGAUACUGAAUAAAAAAAAAACCCAUACUUUGUUUUACCUGUUAUUUACAGAGAGUAGCGUAGAGGGAUAGUAUGUUUUAAUAGGCACCUCAGAUUUUCAGAAAGCUGUUGACAAUGGGCUAUUUCCAGGAGAAGACAGAUUAGAAAUGGAAUUUCUAGAACAUUAACUGUAUGGGACCCUAGACACCUAAGUAACUGAUUUGGACUUGGGAAGAAGUUCACCAUUGUGAAGUGCAACAGGCUGGCAUAACUCAGUCAGUAUAAGCAGAAGUAAUAUGCUGGGUAUUUUUUCUCUGUCCUUUCAUAGCUACUCUCCAUUGUUUGUAUCCAUGCUCUGUGAAUUAUAGGCACAAAUCACCUCUAGUUCUGCAUCAGUGGGUUCCUCUUCUUUAGCUUCUCAUUGGGCAUGGCCAAUGAAGGACACAGGCAAAGGAUUCACAGGUAGCAAUACAGUGAGAUCGGAGUAUUUAUUCACCAGGUUUUGUCCUGGCAGGUAGCCAAAACAUUGCCUCUGUCUGUCUCCUAUGGCUUCUCUUUUUGCCUCUUCAGUCUGAAGGGUGGUUGCAGACACACAGUUACUGGCCCCAAGCACUACACUAUACCUUGCCUCUUUCUUUUACUCCUACCUACUCUUUCUAAAUAGUUUUACUCCUAUUUAUAAAUUAUUCCUCUCCCCAACUCCUUCAUCUGAGUAGUAUGUCUUCUGUUUCCUGUUGGGACUAUGGCUAGUGUAGGAGAUACCUAAAUUAUUCAAUAACCUGUAAGGCAUGAGCAACAGCUAAUUGGAAAGGUUGCAGAUGUAAACGACCAGUAAGGCAGCACCAGUGCAUACUGUGUAAACAUCAGUGCUGGCCAUGGAAUGUGGAGCAAAUAUUUUAUAAGUAAUGGUAAGCAAUGUGUCAAAAUUUACAAAUUAGAAAUGUAAGUGAGUUAAAGAGAGAGCCUGGAGGGUGUGCAAGCAUGGCAAUUGCACAGUCCAGACUUAGUUGCACAUGUCCUUCCAUUUAGUAAAACCGAGGUGGACUUUUAGCCCACCUCAUUCUUCUAAGACUGGGAAAACAAAUACUCUAGACUUUUCUCCUAGUUUAGGGUCCUAAUUUUACUGAUCAAGUCAUCUUGUUCUUAUAUCCAAAAAUAAAUUCUACUUUUAUGAAAAUAGAAAACAUUUUCAAGCAUGUAGAAUUACAUGAUUAUAACUUUGUAGACCCUUAAAUGAAAUACAUCUGAGGUAUUUAUUAACUUACCCAGUAUAUCUUCCUCUUUCCAUACAAUAGGUUUUCCAUUUGAUUAAUGCUUCCGAUCAGAUAGCAUUCCAUCUUCUCUGCUGGUGAACUGUUCACAACACCCAGUACAGCUAUUGCCAUGUCUGAGAAUCUUUCCUGGAAAUCACCAGGCAGAAUUGAUCACUAUUCUCUUUGCUUGAAAGCACUUUUCACUCUGUAUCGUGAUUAAUAGUGCGUGUUUCUGUCACCAUUGCAAGAUUUUGAUCGCCUUGAAAACGGUGAUCAAAUGUUUUUCAUCCUUAUCACUUUAGGGCUUACCACACUGUACAUGAUAGAACUGAUAAACGUCUGUUGACCUGAACUUAAUGAAUUUGGUUCCUGCAGAUUCCGCGGCAAGCACACGGCAGAGCCCGAAUUCAAACCCAGUUUUGUUCUCAGUCCUCCAUCCAAGCUCUUAUCCACAAUAAUGUGCUGUGUUUCUUAAUCAUUUCACGGGGGUUUUGCUCUGAUACAUGCAAGAUUUUUUUUAAUGUUAAAUUUGCCUUAUCAUUUCAGGAAGUCGGUGAUUCUUAUGUGGAUUUUAACAUCUAAUUUACAUGUGCAUUGAUUAGUUUUGUGUUCUUUAUACCAUAAAUCAGAGUAAGAAAAAAAGUUUCAAAACCUGUCAUUGAAAACAUAAUUUUCAAAAAGCUUUAUUCCUAUUUUCUUUCAUGGCAGGGAGCAAGAGCGAAAUGAGAGGCAGAGGUAUAUAAACUGUUCGUAUAAUACUAUAGAGAGCCUGAUGUAUAGUAAUGGCUCCAGGAUCGUAAACGUCUCUCUUGGCACUCUUAAUACUGUCAGAUUAUUACUGUGUUCUCAGAUUCAGCUGGAUGUGUUCAAGGAUCUUCUUUGGUCUGAAAGGUCAGCUGCUUUUAGUUGUGCACUGGUGGAAUACUAAUAUGUCCUUAUUCAAAUUACCUGCUACAGCACUUAUUAAAUUGAUGGCCUUGUGCUCUAAUUUAAUACUGGUGUCGUUCAGAGGCAGGCUGCAACGGCACUCUGUGCUGAACUGGGUGAUGGUGAGGCAAAGUUCAAGCUGAAACCAUGGUUUGGGGCUGCAUUUGCCCACUAAAUUAGCAGUCAGAUGCAGUGUAUAAUUAAUUAGCACAAACCAGGGAAAGCUUGUCAUUUAAUAAGCCUUUUUUAUUUCCACAUUACACAAACAGUGGGAAUUGAUCCAUUAAGUGCCUGGCUAUUAAUGCUGUUUAAUGUAUGUCUGGUUGUUAAAUUGAGAUGUCUAGGUACAUACGUUCAGAGUUUAAGAGCUCCUCAUAGUUUGUUCAGUGUUUGCUGAGAUUUUAGGUCAUGUUCCACAGAAUCAAUAAGAGCUUCAUUACUGAAUUUUGAACCUGGUUCAAACCCGUAUAUGGAUUUAGGCUGAUAAUUUUUAGCAUGGCCUCAGAAAUAAGUCUUCAUAUAUAUCUCAAAGU